UGGCGGGAUAGAGCAGUCCGGUAGCUCACGAGACUCAUAAUCUCGAGGUCGGAGGUUCAAAUCCUUCUCCCGCAACCA
rnacentral:tRNA from 1 species